AUUUUUUUUUUUUUUUUGGGGGAAAAGAUGAUGGUGACCUAAACCCUCACCAGAGUAACAAUUGGAGGGCAAGUCUGGUGCCAGCAGCCGCGGUAAUUCCAGCUCCAAUAGCGUAUAUUAAACUUGUUGCAGUUAAAAAGCUCGUAGUUGAAUUUCUGCGUUAUCGAGUUAUUGACUCUUGUCUUUAAUCGAUUUCGCUUUUGGGAUUUAUCCCUUUUUACUUUGAGAAAAUUAGAGUGUUUCAAGCAGACUUUUGUCUUGAAUACUUCAGCAUGGAAUAAUAGAGUAGGACUUUGGUUCUAUUUUGUUGGUUUUUGAACCUUAGUAAUGGUUAAUAGGAACGGUUGGGGGCAUUCGUAUUUAACUGUCAGAGGUGAAAUUCUUAGAUUUGUUAAAGACGAACUACUGCGAAAGCAUUUGCCAAGGACGUUUCCAUUAAUCAAGAACGAAAGUUAGGGGAUCGAAGACGAUCAGAUACCGUCGUAGUCCUAACCAUAAAACUAACAAAAUU
rnacentral:rRNA from 1 species